rnacentral:rRNA from 1 species
UGGGGAAUAUUGGACAAUGGGCGAAAGCCUGAUCCAGCCAUGCCGCGUGAGUGACGAAGGCCUUAGGGUUGUAAAACUCUUUCGUCGGGGACGAUAAUGACGGUACCCGAAGAAGAAGCUCCGGCUAACUUCGUGCCAGCAGCCGCGGUAAUACGAAGGGAGCUAGCGUUGUUCGGAAUCACUGGGCGUAAAGCGCACGUAGGCGGAUAGUUAAGUCAGGGGUGAAAUCCUGGGGCUCAACCCCAGAACUGCCUUCAAAACUGGCGACCUGGACCUAAGUAGAGGCAAGUGGAAUUGCGAGUGUAGAGGUGAAAUUCGUAGAUAUUCGCAGGAACACCAGUGGCGAAGGCGACUUGCUGGACUUAUGGUGACGCUGAGACGCGAAAGCGUGGGGAGCAAACAGGAUUAGAUACCCACGUAGUCCCUGAGCGGGCUGGCAAGGCGCAU